CUAUACAUGCAGUCGAGCGGACCGACGGGAGCUUGCUCCCUUAGGUCAGCGGCGGACGGGUGAGUAACACGUGGGUAACCUGCCUGUAAGACUGGGAUAACUCCGGGAAACCGGGGCUAAUACCGGAUGCUUGAUUGAACCGCAUGGUUCAAUUAUAAAAGGUGGCUUUUAGCUACCACUUACAGAUGGACCCGCGGCGCAUUAGCUAGUUGGUGAGGUAACGGCUCACCAAGGCAACGAUGCGUAGCCGACCUGAGAGGGUGAUCGGCCACACUGGGACUGAGACACGGCCCAGACUCCUACGGGAGGCAGCAGUAGGGAAUCUUCCGCAAUGGACGAAAGUCUGACGGAGCAACGCCGCGUGAGUGAUGAAGGUUUUCGGAUCGUAAAACUCUGUUGUUAGGGAAGAACAAGUACCGUUCGAAUAGGGCGGUACCUUGACGGUACCUAACCAGAAAGCCACGGCUAACUACGUGCCAGCAGCCGCGGUAAUACGUAGGUGGCAAGCGUUGUCCGGAAUUAUUGGGCGUAAAGCGCGCGCAGGCGGUUUCUUAAGUCUGAUGUGAAAGCCCCCGGCUCAACCGGGGAGGGUCAUUGGAAACUGGGGAACUUGAGUGCAGAAGAGGAGAGUGGAAUUCCACGUGUAGCGGUGAAAUGCGUAGAGAUGUGGAGGAACACCAGUGGCGAAGGCGACUCUCUGGUCUGUAACUGACGCUGAGGCGCGAAAGCGUGGGGAGCGAACAGGAUUAGAUACCCUGGUAGUCCACGCCGUAAACGAUGAGUGCUAAGUGUUAGAGGGUUUCCGCCCUUUAGUGCUGCAGCAAACGCAUUAAGCACUCCGCCUGGGGAGUACGGUCGCAAGACUGAAACUCAAAGGAAUUGACGGGGGCCCGCACAAGCGGUGGAGCAUGUGGUUUAAUUCAAAGCAACGCGAAGAACCUUACCAGGUCUUGACAUCCUCUGACAACCCUAGAGAUAGGGCUUCCCCUUCCGGGGCAGAGUGACAGGUGGUGGAUGGUUGACG
rnacentral:rRNA from 1 species